rnacentral:lncRNA from 1 species
CAGGUGUAUAACACGAUCUGUACAAGGAGGAACAGACAAACUGUACAGCUAUAUUUUUUAUCAAUAUCAAUACUGAAUAAUUCCUUCUUUACAACAUUAUGAAAAUCUGAUACAGGAUCAGCAGCUUGAUGGUGAACCCCGAUACCCUUUAACAAUUUGAAUGUACGAAGGAGGGCUGUGCCUUGCCAACUGCACUUCACUUUAGCAACAAUACAUUAAAAUAUAUUUUAAAUGAGAAUAAUUAAUUAAUUAAUUUAGUUAGCCCUAAAAUUAGUGUUCACACUUGUGCUUGUAACAUUUGAGGGUUAGCUGUGCCAAUCAACUGAAUCAGGAGUAAAUAAAUCAUCGAUAUACCUGUUCUUUUUCCAUAGCAUGCAUAGCGAGGGAUGGGAGAAACAAUUGUAGUACCCCAGAACUUUUGAAAACCCUGUGUGGCAUGUGUGCUUUGUAAUCCCAUGAUAUGCAAUGUUGGUCAGACUUCAGCAAGAAUUUUUUUUUUUUUAAAUCAUAGAUAAGCUUUAUUGGCAAUAAAAAAUGCAGUAGAUGGAUGAUUAUCAUAUGUGUCAUAUGUGUCCCAUUUAAUUAUGAACACUUUGAAUAACUUGCCUCCUUAGGUGGUUAUGCAAAACUUUGGUUUUAGUGGUUAUGCAGGACAUGAAUAAUGUAGACCUCCCUCUUAAUAACUUGUAAAAUAUGUUUACAGUGGAUACAAAAGUAGAUGCCUAAUUUUCUUAUGCAAGAAUGCAAUGAUGAAUAAUAUUGUGUUAUUUGCUUUAAAAGUUGAAGUGAAAAAUAGAUCCUUACUGCAUGAUGAAAUGUCUUCUAAAAUGCCAAAAUGUUGUAAUAUUUUGGUGCUUCUAUUACCAAGAAAUACCCUGGCAAGAAAAGUGAUCAAUGUUGUCUACAAAAUAUAAGUAUAAUAAAUGCCUUUUAAAUUUAUUUUAGUCUGUGGCUACAUAAAAAUUUAUUUAUACUUAUCAGAAAUUGAAAAAUAUACAACACUCAUUGUAAUAAUGUAAUUAAGCAAAACUAUAAUAAAGACCAUUAAUUGCAUUUGGUGUCCUACUUAAAUUAAGAUUUGCACUUUUAAGGACCCUAGUUUUAAAAGUCUUACAUUAUUUUUAUUAGAUGCCCAAAACAAUCAUGGACCAUAACGAGUAAAAUACUAUUCUGUCUAAAUAACUGUCGCAUUGUUUAUUGUUCUCUCCUUCUUCCAUAUUCACAUCCAGUAUAGUAAGUAUUAUUCCUGUGAUAUUUUACUAAUGUUUACUUUAGUAUUCCCUGGAGGGUCAUGUAUUUUAAAUACAUAUCAAUUAGACAGCUUCCCAAAAUGGUACUCUUGAGGGGCAGUGUUCUUUGCAUUUAUGCCAAUUUUCUCCUGCAACAGAUAAUACUUAUUAGUUUAGUUUCCCCAAUAUUUAGACAGAUAAAAAUUGUUUUGCCAAUAUUACUAAUGUUCAGCUGUUAUUCAUAACAUUGCCAGGAUUGUUCUUUUUUCUUUGUAAAAAUUCCCACCCCGGUGGUAAUAACUUAUAACCAAAUUGUGUCUAUAGUACAUUUGAACUGACACUCACGAUACUUUCUUGUAUUGAUACUCUUUGGAACAUAUCAUUUGUGUCUUUACAAUUGUCAUGAGAGGAUGUAGACUUGUACACAGCGAGAUAAUUUGGCUCAGCUGAAUAUUUUAUUUCUGAAAAUAGCACAUUUAUCGGCACACCCAAGUUCUGUUUGAAGGUCAGAACAGCUCGGCAGAAUCUCAGAUCAGAAGAGCAAAAAGAGGUGCAAUAAUGGUCCAAUCAGUAUGCUGCAAAAUAC